rnacentral:tRNA from 1 species
UUCUCAGUAGCUCAGCAAGAUAGAGCAACGGGUUUACAAAGCCGUCAGUCCCAGGUUCGAAUCCUGCCUGGGAGG